GGGGUUGUGGCUCAGUGGUACAGCACUUGCCUAGCAUGCAUGAGGCACUGGGUUCAAUCCUUAGCACCCACA
rfam:Ictidomys tridecemlineatus contig035334, whole genome shotgun sequence.